rnacentral:lncRNA from 1 species
AGGACAGCAGAGACAGUGCUUAUCAGACCGCUGCAAGCAUAUUAGACCGGUACAGUGUUUGGCACCGUAACAGACAGGAAGUGAUGCGCCCAGGGAAGUAAGAGGAGGAUUACAGAAUAAGCUUGUCCUGCCUGACUGUGAAAUUGCUGAGGUACCAGUAUGAGCCACUCGGCUGACAAUAGAGACAGAGGGA